rnacentral:rRNA from 1 species
AACGAACGCUGGCGGCAUGCCUAACACAUGCAAGUCGAACGAGACCUUCGGGCCUAGUGGCGCACGGGUGCGUAACGCGUGGGAACCUGCCCUUAGGUUCGGAAUAACUCCCCGAAAGGGGUGCUAAUACCGGAUAAUGUCUUCGGACUAAAGAUUUAUCGCCUUUGGAUGGGCCCGCGUUGGAUUAGCUAGUUGGUAGGGUAAAAGCCUACCAAGGCGACGAUCCAUAGCUGGUCUGAGAGGAUGAUCAGCCACACUGGGACUGAGACACGGCCCAGACUCCUACGGGAGGCAGCAGUGGGGAAUAUUGGACAAUGGGCGAAAGCCUGAUCCAGCAAUGCCGCGUGAGUGAUGAAGGCCUUAGGGUUGUAAAGCUCUUUUACCCGGGAUGAUAAUGACAGUACCGGGAGAAUAAGCUCCGGCUAACUCCGUG